rnacentral:rRNA from 1 species
UACGGAGGGUGCGAGCGUUGUCCGGAAUCACUGGGCGUAAAGGGCGCGUAGGCGGCCUGAUAAGUAGGGGGUGAAAUCCUGCGGCUUAACCGCAGGGCUGCCUUCUAAACUGUCAGGCUAGAGCACAGUAGAGGCAGGUGGAAUUCCCGGUGUAGCGGUGAAAUGCUUAGAUAUCGUCAAGAACACCUAUUGCGAAGGCAGCUAACUAAGCUUUAACUGACGCUGAGGCACGAAAGUGUGGGGAUCAAACAGG